UACGUAGGCAGCGAGCGUUGUUCGGAGUUACUGGGCGUAAAGGGUGUGUAGGCGGUCCCUUAAGUUUGGUGUGAAAUCUCCCGGCUCAACUGGGAGGGUGCGCCGGAUACUGAGGGGCUAGAGUGCGGGAAGGGAAAGUGGAAUUCCUGGUGUAGCGGUGAAAUGCGUAGAUAUCAGGAGGAACACCGGUGGUGCAAACGGCUUUCUGGACCGUAACUGACGCUGGGACACGAAAGCGUGGGGAGCAAACAGG
rnacentral:rRNA from 1 species